GUUGAAGAUACCUCAAUCCAUGAUUUCAACAUUGGAAUUUUUGAAAGUCCCUAGUAAUAGUAUGAAUUAUGAAAUUUCAAAAAAGCAUAUUCUUAUUUAUUGUUAAUUUCAAGGUAUUUUUAAUAGCUAUACUUACAUUUGUCUUUAGAAAAUAGAAAAUUCACUUUAAAUGUAUAAAAAUGAAUAAAGAAAACUCAUCUUCAUUUCUGACAGAAAAUAAGAAACAUGAAAAAAAAACUAAAAAAGAAAUACAUAUUUUCUUGAAAGACGCUUCAAAUGAAACAAAUAUGAAAAACAUAGUUGUAAGAGUGUUCAAUUACUUUAUCGAUCGGUCAACCAAAUCAAAUUAGUAUUAACUAAAUCAAAAUUAUCAUGAAAAAGUGAAAAAGUCAUAAUUUAGGGGUGGUUGAUGCAAUUAACUCAUUUCUAAUGGUGCUAAUACUUAAGUCUGCUAUGGGACAAAGUGAAAAAGUGGAAAGCAGAGUUAAAAUAUGACCCAAACACUCACCUUUUUCUAAGUCGUCUCCUAUCAUAGUUGCAAAAUAAAUGGAUAGCAGUAAACCAAAUCCUUUGCUACUAAACCAAGAAAACCCAGUUGUCUUAAGAGUUCAUAUUUGUGAAGGUUUCUUAACAUUUUAGUGCAACCUUGAUUUUUAUUUUUAUUUAUUUCCUUUCCCUUAAAGAGAAAAAAAGAUCUUCAAGUUUUUUUUCUUUUUUAUUCUUCAGUUUUGCUUACUUUCUUUUGCUCCCAAAAACCAAAAAAAAAUAUCCCUUCAAAUCCCAUUUGAUGGUUUUGAAGUAGCAACGAUCUUCUCAGCACCUAGUCUAGUUUGAUUUUGAAGUUCCCAAGUGAGGUCAAUGUAUUUAUGUAUGCUUAAUUUCUAUAUUUUCGGUUUUUUUAUAUAUAAAUUUGUUAUAUAUUUCUUCAUCUAAUAUUAUGUUUUUAUGUUUUUCUUGAACUAAAUCAGAGCAAAAUAGACUGUUUGGAUUUGCUCUUUUUUUCCACACUCAAAUUCUUGGAAUCAUUACUUCAUUUUGAAGGGGUAAGUGGGUAUGUUUCUUAUGUUUUCCAUCAUUAUAUGCAUAAUAUUAAAUGGAUACCAAGCAGUACCAACAUCAAUAAUUUAGAUCCCCAUUUUGUAUAAAAUUAUUAAAAAAAACUCACAAUUAUUUAUAAAUAGAAAAAUGUAUAUAAAAAUUCUAGAAAAAUAAAAUCUAUGUUGUUUCAUAACUAAAUUGGAUGAGAAAUAAAGAAAAUCACCAUUCAAUAACAUCCGAUAACAAAUUAAAAUCAAAACAAAACAAAACAAAAAAUGUUAGAUUAUUAUAUGUUUCCUGAAUAUUUCUCGAAACCAAAUUAGUAGUAUUAUCAAGCUGAGUUUCAUGCCCUUGAAGAGUAUCUAGAACUGAUAUUACAAAUACUUAUGAAAUUGACCUUGAUGCCAUAUUUUUAGUCAAAAGAAUACAAAAUAUACCAUAAUUUUUCUUUUCCAAACUCAAUUCGAAAUUUCAUUACAUUUUAAUUGUUUUCAGAAUUUUAUCUUUUCUUAUAAAGUAAAAGCUGUCAAGUAAUGAAGAUGUAAAAAACAAAUGAAUUUGCUUAAUAUUUUUUCUGUGUUUGUUUUUAAAGAAUGAGUAUUGAAGUAAUAGAUAAUAUAGAGAAAUUUUCUUCCUUUUUUCUAUGUCAGGACUCGGGUCUUUAAAGUUCCUCAAUUAUUUUCUUCCUUCUUUUCAGAAUUAGAUUUUCUCUUUUUGCUUGAAUCUUGAUUUUAUAGUCAAUUUGGUGGGUUAGGUUUCUUGAAGCUUUAAGGUUGUAUGGUCUUGACUAGCGCCAAAUAAAAGGUAAAUGCACAAUGAGUUGAAUUGAUUUACUUAUCUUUACCAUGUUCACUAUGGUUUGAAUAUUUUAAGUUACUCUUAUUUUCAUGCAGAGUUUUUAUAUUUUUCUUUUCAAACUCAAUUCAAAAUUCCAUUACAUUUUAUUUUUUUUUUCAAAACCCAAAUUGUAAAAUGAAAAUAUAUUCAAAAAUUUAUCUUUUCUUAUAAUGUAAAAGCUAUGUCAAGUAAUUGAUGAGGUAAAAAAGUAUAGAACAAAUAAAUUUGCUUCAUAGUUUUUUCUAUAUGUUUGUUUUUAAAAUAAUGAGUAUUGAAUAUUUCAAUAUAGAUAAUAUAGAGAAAUUUUGUAGGGUUUAAAAAUAAUUAUCCCUAAUUUUCUCACUUUAUUUAUUUUUAAAAUUUUUAUUUUACUUUUAUUUAUUUUUUAAUUUUAUAAUGUUCUAAAAUUUUAAAAAUAAUUUCAACUUUUUAUCAUUUUAUAUAUUAUCAAAAUGAAAUUCACCGAAAGUAUAAAAAUUUAGGACUAAAAUUUUUAUUAAAUCAUUUAAAAAGUUCCACUUAAUAGUUGAGUGACAAAAAAAUAAUAAUUUCAAAAACAUUAGUGGUGAAAUUGUAAUUGUUUUUAAUUGAGUGAUUAAAACAAAAAUUAGUAAUAGUUUAAUGACUAAUAAUGUAGCUUUUUUUUUUUGGGUACAACGAUAACUCGAAAUUUGGUUAUUCCUAAAAAGGGUGAACAUCCGAUCAUAUUUAUUCACAUAUUACAAACAUCCAUAUGCAAGCUCAUCUUUUUAUCUUUUAUAUAUUAUUUCGAUUGAUACUUAAAUUAUUUGUACGAAAAAAAAAAUCAAAAUGAAAUGCAACAUGUUCUGAACUUUUAUUAAAGCUCAUCUUUUUGUUGAAGAUACCCCAAUCCAUGAUUUCAACAUUGGAAUUUUUGAAAGUCCCUAGUAAUAGUAUGAAUUAUGAAAUUUCAAAAAACCAUAUUCUUAUUUAUUGUUAAUUUCAAGCUAAUUUUAAUAGCUAUACUUACAUUUGUCUUUAAAAAAUAGAAAAUUCACUUUAAAUGUAUAAAAAUGAAUAAAGAAAACUCAUCUUCAUUUCUGACAGCAAAUAAGAAAUAUGAAAAAAAAAAACUAAAAAAGAGAUACAUAUUUUCUUGAUAGACGCUUCAAAUGAAACAAAUAUGAAAAACAUAGUUGUAGGAGUGUUCAAUUGCUUAAUCGAUCCGUUAACCAAAUCGAAUUAGUAUUAACUGAAUUAGUAUUAACUAAAUCGAAAUUAUCAUGAAAAAACUCAAACUUAUAAAUCCCUAUCCCCAAAAAAAAAAAAUUGAAGCAUCCAGAAAAUACAUCAAGCAUUGAACUAAAAAAGAACAUAUCACUAUUCAUAGUUGUAGAGGAGGAUUAGACACUGCUGCUAACGAUGGGUGAAGAAAUAUGCCAACCAAAGACAUAUUGUUGUGUCUGGUGGGGUUAUUCAACCUAUACCAAAAACAUGUUAUUUCAACAUUACAAUGAAAAUUUUGAUACAGUGAUAAUAUAAUGAAAUAAAUUUUAUCAUGUUAUGAAUAAGAAUUCAUAAGGGGAAUUUCUAUUGCAUUCUAUAUUUUUCAUAAUCUUUACAGGUAGUAUACUCCACUAUAUAUAGAAAGAUUAGACUCUUCAUAUUCUAAUACAUAAAUAAGAAAAAGGGGUUAUAAGGAGAUGAAAGUUUAAAAAUUAAAGAAAAUGAAAGAUUAAAGUCAAGAGAGAUGAAAGGUAAAAGGUUGAACAUCCACUUAAUAAUAUUAAUAAUAAAUAUUUUAAAUGUAGCAAAAGUCAUAAAAAUAAUAGAAACACCGCUCCAAAUGAACCAAUUCCACUCAAGCAAUUACUAAAACUUCAAGGAAAACAUGAGAGCAUAGAUUAAUUAUUUUUUAAUAAGUUAAUUGCACCAAAUAUUUUUAAAUUAUUACCUGCAUUCUAAAUUAAUUCACUUUCGAAAUAUUGUGAGUAAUUGCUCACUUUCGAAAUUGGUAGGGAUUAAAUUGUUUCGAUUUUUUUAAAGAGACCAAUUUACUGAAUAUCAAAAUUGAGAGGGACUAGAGAGGUCAUUUUAUCUAGUUUAGUAAUUAAAUGACAUGUUAAAUCUUAUGUGAUAUAAUUUAAAAUGACAAUUUUAAAAAUUGUGGAAAUAUUUGUUUUAAAAAUCUUGGUUUUGAAGUUUUUACAAAAUUUUUAUUGUUCAUUUUUUUUAAAAUUUCAAUUUUAUUUAAUUUUAGUUUCUUUAAAAUUUUCAUUUUAAAAUUAGCUAGAUAAUGAUUUUAAUAAUAAAUGGCCUGAUUAAUAUAACACCAACAGUUUAGAAAUGUAAUUAGAUAAGUUUGCAGUUUGAAAAUAGAUUUAAAAUAAUGGUCAUAAUUUAGGGGUGUUUGUUGCAAUUAACUCAUUUCUAAUGGUGCUAAUAAUUAAGUCUGCUAUAGGACAAAGUGAAAUAGUGGAAAGCAGAGUUAAAAUAUGACCCAAAGAUAUGGAUGGGGCCAUUACCAACAUCAAUAAUUUAGAUCCCGAUUUUGUAUAAAAUUAUUUAAAAAAAAACUCACAAUUAUUUAUAAAUAGAAAAAUGUAUACAAAAAUUCUAAAAAGUAAAAUCUUGAAUAUGUUGUUUCAUAACUAAAUUGUAUGAGAAAUAAAGAAAAUCAGCAUUUAAUAACACCCGAUAACAAAUUAAAAUCAAAACAAAACAAAACAAGUUAGAUUAUUAUAUGUCUCCUGAAUAUUUCUCGAAACUAAAUUAGUAGUGAGUUUCAUGCCCUUGAACAACAUCUAGAACUGAUAUUACAAAUACUUAUGAAAUUAACCUUGAUGCCAUAUUUUUAGUUAAAAGAGUACAAAAUAUAGCAUGAUUUUUCUUUUCAAACUCAAUUCAAAAUUUCAUUACAUUUUAAUUUUUUUUUUCAAAACCCAAAUUGUAAAAUGAAAAUAUAUUCAAAAAUUUAUCUUUUCUUAUAAUGUAAAAGCUAUGUCAAGUAAUUGAUGAGGUAAAAAAGCAUAGAACAAAUAAAUUUGCUUCAUAGUUUUUUCUAUGUUUGUUUUCAAAACAAUGAGUAUUGAAUAUUUCAAUAUAGAUAAUAUAGAGAAAUUUUGUAGGGUUUAAAAAUAAUUAUCCCUAAUUUUCUCACUUUAUUUAUUUUUAAAAUUUUUAUUUUACUUUUAUUUAUUUUUUAAUUUUAUAAUGUUCUAAAAUUUUAAAAAUAAUUUCAACUUUUUAUCAUUUUAUAUAUUAUCAAAAUGAAAUUCACCGAAAGUAUAAAAAUUUAGAACUAAAAUUUUUAUUAAAUCAUUUAAAAAGUUCCACUUAACAGUUGAGUGACAAAAAAAUAAUAAUUUCAAAAACAUUAGUGGUGAAAUUGUAAUUGUUUUUAAUUGAGUGAUUAAAACAAAAAUUAGCAAUAGUUUAAUGACUAAUAAUGUAGUUUUUUUUUUGGGUACAACGAUAACUCGGAAUUUGGUUAUUCCUAAAAAGGGUGAACAUCCGAUCAUAUUUAUUCACUUAUUACAAACAUCCAUAUGCAAGCAAUUCUCCCGAAUUAAAAUCAAAUUUUAAUAUCAACAACUUCAACAACUCAUAAAUAGGAAGAUAAUAUGUUUCGGUACACUUAAAACCACAUCCUUCUAUAUUGACAGCAAUUAUUAUGACAAUGAAGCUAAGACUUUAUUCACAAUACCUAUAUAUUUUUGUUAUACCUAAUUAAAGUCAUUUACCAGUAUAUUAGACAUUCUUAUACCCUACUUUCCCAUACUUUCCCAUUAUUAUCGUGAUGAUGAUGAUGUAACACCCCCUAACCCCAAACCGUCACCGGAACAGGGUUAUAGAGUAUUACCAGACAUAUCGGAUAACUUAUAACUAAUUCACAAAUAAAUAACAGACAUAGCAUACUUUAAUCAAAUAUGUCAUAUUAGUUCCAUUUCAUACUUAUAAUCAAUUUAAAACAUCGUUCUAAAACCACAAUCACAAAACUCUUAUACUUAACCUAUAUAUCACUUAGGUACAUGCCACAUUAUCAAAACAAAAGUACAUCACCAAAAUUUCUCUGAGGUCGGGAUUACUCUGGAUGCUGGACCGAGCACUGGCUUCCUACUAACCUGCGCACGGAAACAACCGUAUUGUCACUUUCGAACUGGNNNNNNNNNNNNNNNNNNNNNNNNNNNNNNNNNNNNNNNNNNNNNNNNNNNNNNNNNNNNNNNNNNNNNNNNNNNNNNNNNNNNNNNNNNNNNNNNNNNNAACUUUGAGAUAAAUCUGACGCGAUCUGCUCCACUACAACUUUAGAGAGAUGAGAUCUGCGGUUUUACUCCAUACCAUUACAACUUCAAGGAGAUAGGAAUUCUGGCUUCAAUGUACUCCACUGUAACCUCAAGGAGGUAAAAUCUGCCAUCCUCGAUCUACUCCACUACCGUCUAGGGAGAUAAGUUUUAUUAUCUUUAAUCUAUUCCACUGGUGCCCAGUGAGAUAGAAUUACUGGCUUCAAUAUACUCUAUUGUAACCUCAGGGAGGUAAAAUCCGCCAUCCUUGAUCUGCUUCAUUACUGCUUAGGGAGAUAAGAUCUGUUAUCUUUGAUCUACUUCACGCCAAUACAUGAAGACAAGAUCUGCUUUCUUCGAUCUGCUUCGCCACCAGUAUGGGAAGACAAGAUCUGGUAUCUUCGAUCUACUUCACGCCAAUACAUGAAGACAAGAUCUGCUUUCUUCGAUCUAUUUCACCACCAGUAUGGGAAGACAAGAUCUGCUAUCUUUGAUCUACUUCACUCCAAUACAUGAAGAUAAGAUCUGUUUUCUUCGAUCUACUUUGCCACCAGUAUGGGAAGACAAGAUCUACUAUCUUUGAUCUACUUCACGCCAAUACAUGAAGACAAGAUAUGUUUUCUUUGACCUACUUCGCCACCAGUAUGGGAAGACAAGAUCUGCUAUCUUUGAUCUACUUCACGCCAAUACAUGAAGACAAGAUCUGCUAUCUUUGAUCUACUUCACACCAAUACAUGAAGACAAGAUCCGUUUUCUUUGAUCUACUUCACGCCAAUACAUGAAGACAAGAUCUGCUAUCUUUGAUCUACCUCACGCCAAUUCAUAAAAAUAAGAUCUGCUGCUUUUCAACCUGCUCCACUGUUGCUCAAGGAGAUAAGGCUUUAUGAUUUCACCGAUCUGUUCUCUGUGGAACAUGGCCUGUAUCAUUCAAUUUAUGAACCUAAUUAUGUCUAGUGAAUAGGAUGUCAUGAUCAAAUGAAUCAAAUACUCCUAACUGGACAUGUAUGAAUGACAUUUGAAUGAAUGCAAAAUGUCAUUUUUCGAGAAUGAUCCCUCCUUAUCACUUAGGUUAUCAUUACUCAAAGUUUAUCAAAGUUUUAUUGCCAAUGUGCUAUAACGCCUCUUACUCGGCUGACGUCUCCAAAGAAACACUUGACCAGAUUGCCCCCACUGUAAACCUCCAAGUUUGAUCCACUAGGAUGCAAAAUUUACAUUAUCUUUCUCCCGUUGUAACCCAAGAGUAAAAGAUUUGGCCUUUUCUCAAUCCUCUGUUAUCACAAUUUAAGGAUAAAGGAUGUGAAACUUUUUGGUCUCUUACACCAUUCUCAGGGUGUCACACAAAAUGCUCAUGAAAAAAUGAAGAAUUUUCCUCUCCAAGAACAGCUUCUUCUUAUUAUUCGAUGAUCAUUGCUUGCUUGUUCAUUGAAGCUUUAUCACCAACACGGCAUCUUGCCAUUUUGUUUAAUCAAUACUUUAGACAAGAAAAUUCAAAGGGAUAGUCUUAAUUUAGACUCUUCUUUAUCAAAUUUCCAACCUUUGAACCUGGUACGUUUUAGAUAAUAGUUAUGUUUGAGGUUCCUAUAUUAUUUAGAAGCUUCUAGACUAAUAUGCAAAACUUCCCUUGUGAAGGUUUUAUUGGUCCAUUAAUUAUUAUUCUAAUGCAACACACUUGCAAAGAGAACAAAAUGAUGGAUAAAAUUGAAUUGGUUCUGAGCAUAGCUCGAAAUGAAAUAAAUUAUCAAAGAUAAUAAAGAUGGAUAACAAAGACAUUGAUUCAGGAAUGCGUAUUUUUGGAAAUAAAUGAAGCGUUCCAAGUAUAACAAAGUAUAAGGAUUAGGUACCUCAGAUAUCGCAGCUUGAACUUCUCUGUACAGACUUUCUGAAGACCAUUCUGAGUUUAACACGUGUUUAGGAGAUCGAUACCCCAGGAUGUCGCCUACACUUUCCUAUUGAUUCAGGUAUAGAAAGAUCAUUGCAUGCCCCAUUCUGGUCAUAUUUGAGCUGCUCUGAUAACUUCAAGCGCCAUUUUGAUCAACAUUUGAGCCGCCAUUUUCGGGUUUUCAACUCAAAUCCCCUUUGGUCUAAGGUGCCAUUUGCGGGUUUUCACCUUGGCCUCUCCAUUUCUUUUUCUCUUCUCUUUUUUGACUCAAGGCUCCCUUUGUAGGGUUUCACCCUGGGUUUUUUUUUAAGCGGAGUAUUUCCUGACUGAAUCCGAGUUUGCAGGACUUUGCAAGUUUAUUAUCUAUCUCCCUCAAAAUCAAAGCUCAUUUAGAAAAGACCUUCUCUAUAACACAAGGUUCUUCCCAAUUUGGCAUUCGUUAUAUUUUUUGUAGAGUGAGGAUCUUCUUCGGCAUUAGGUCACCAUCGUGGAAUUCUCUUGGACAAACCUUUUACUAUAGGCUCGCAUAAUUCAUUUCUUGGUACAUCUGACCCUGAUGAAUAGUUUCUAGCCUUUUUCUUUAACUAGGUUCAACUAAUUGUACCGGGAUUGGAUUUUCAUCCUACUUCAACUCAGCCAAAACUUAAAGAGAAAGAAUUUCAACUUCAAUGAAAAUCGUGAUAAACUGGAAAGAGUGGCAUUGCCCCGCUAGAGUUUUCAUUGCACCAUUCAUGAUAUUCACCUUGAACAUACUGUAAAAUUUUGAUAUCGUGCUAUUGUUCAGAUUGCAAUGACAUCACUUAAAACGGGCACAUCCUGGUAUGACCAUGCGAAGCCAUCUUUGAAUGCUUGAAGUAACUCAACAUCGUUUUGCUUUGUUUUUUCGGUCAUGCAUGUUCCCUCAAGGUCACAACCUCUAUUGUCUCAUUUAUUUCUCUUAUUGCUUUACCAUCAUCAACAAGUCAGGAGAUAAGCUACAAUUUAUGACAUCUUCAAAGUCAUAAGAUCCCUCUAAAUACAUGGCUCACUCAAAAAGGGAUUUUGAGUCCGUAGUAGCGUCACUCAUGUCAUUGAUAUCUAGGAACCCAUAGUAAAUACCAAAAAAUGUACAAAAGAAUGUAUGAAUAAUAUGAAUGAAUGAACAAAUGGUUUGGUAGAAAAAAAAUUCAUAAGAAUGAAAGAAGUGCAAAGAAUGAAAGAACAUUUACUCCAAGAUGAUUGCAAUAAUGUAUUUCAUUAAAAUAAUCAUGUUCGGACAUGAGCCAAUUUCACAAAGGCAUUCCUAUUGCUUUUAGGCUAAAAGCAACAAGCGUGUUCUGAAUAUUACUCUAACAGACCCUAAAUACUGUAGGGGUUUCCUCUGCAGUCCCAUUAUUUAUAACACCUCCCAGGCGAAUAUCUAACCAGAGCCCUUUUAAUUAUGUCUGCACAUAUGGCGUCGAUGUGAAAAUCUCACCACUUCCAUACAUUGUCCUCCCCCAUUAUCACUCGUGAUUAGGUAGCGGAUUUUCUGCACUAGACGAGUCACCAAACUUGACAAUACCCAUGUCGAUGAGUCUUUCAACUUGCUUCUUGAAGGUAGUGCAGUUCUCAAUCGAGUGUCCCAUAAUUUCUGCGUGGUAUUCACAUUGUGCAUUCGCAUCAUACCAUUUGGGAUACGGAGGUUGUAGAGGCUUCACAGGAAAAGGAGAAACAACACGUGCAUCAAACAAAUUCUAAUACAGUUCUCUAUAUGACACUGGAACUGGCGUAAAUUGGGGCCUCUCUGUGUUUUGUCCUGUACCAACUUCCUGUCUCAAUGGACCUUGUUGGUUAGCAGCCAUCUUUCUUGGCUGACUCACAGUAAAUGAUUUAAAGUAACCCGUGUUGUUCACCUCAUCUUCUCUUCUCCUUGAGACUGACCUCUUGUUACUCUCCUCUGCAUCAAUUUUCCCGCUUCUUAUAGCAUUUUCAAUCAUUUCACCAUUCAUAACUAUGUCAGAAAAAUUUUUGUGGCACUUCCUAACAUAUGUGAUGAACGGGGCUUUCAAUGUAUUUAUAAAAAGCAUCGUCAUUUCUUUCUCUAAGAGCAGUGGUUGAACUUGGACUGCGUCUUCCCUCCAUCUUUGUGUGUACUGCCUAAAGCUUUCGCUUGACUUCUUCUCCAUGUUUUGAAGGGUAAUUCUAUCAGGAGCCAUAUCUGUCACAUGACUAUACUGUUUCAUGAAUGCUUGUGCCAAGUCCUUCCAUGAACCAAUUGUGGUGCAGCUCAGUUGAUUGUACCACUUAGAUGCUGCCUCUGCUAGGCUAUCUUGGAAACAGUGUAUUAAUAGCUGGUCAUUAUUAACGUAUCCAGCCAUUCGCCUGUAGAACAUGGUGAUAUGAGCCUCUGGGCAAGUCGUCCCAUUGUACUUCUCGAUUUCCGGCAUCUUAAACUUAUGAGAGAGUACCAAAUCAGGAACUAAGUUCAGCUCUUUAGCGUCAAUCCCACGACAGCUUUCAGUGACUUCCAUUGCCCUGAAUUUCUCCUCGAGCCAUUUGCACAUUUCCUCUAGCUAUUUUGGUAACUCCUCCUUUAUUCUUUCCCUCUUGGCCACUUCAACAAAGUCAGGAAUGGUAGAGUUCACAGGGUUGUUUUCGGGAUUAGAACCCGAUCCAGCUUGAAAGUUCGAAAUACCAGCCCGAAACUGCUUAAGCAUGAUGGUGACAGUAGACUUACACGAGUAUUCAGCUUGAGUUCGCAUAUGUGGAGGGGUGAAACCUGGUGGAUAGAGAGGUUCAUCAUCAUUUCCCUCAUCGACAUUUGCCAUGGGGCCCUUUCCUUUAUCACUUCCCUUAGUUAUCAGUUGGGCUAACUUUGCCACUAUAUCUUCGUGGGAUUCUCACAUCUUCUCAGACAUCUCUUGUUUCAUCUUGUCUAACCGCUCCUGCACCUGUAGCUGAAGUCGGUCCUGCAUCUUCUUUUGACACUGUUCGAGUUUUUCCAAUCUCUGAUCCAUGUCUUUAAUCUUUGCUUGAGUGUUGUAACAAUGUUUGGUUGAUUGGUUGGUUUCCAGGUUAACUGAGCAGUGAUUUUAAUUAAUUAGGAUCAUUUAAAGGUGUCUAAUGCACAUGAUGUAAUGAAAUGCAAAUGCAUGAAAUGAAUGUAAAAAAAAACGUUGAUUCAGGUUCAAUUUUUUUACUAGAAAACUUCUUUAGAAAGUAAAUCUCUUUACACAAAGUGGAUAUAUAUAUACGGCUUCGUCCUCGAGCUCCAAGCGAAGACAACGACCAUUAAUAUGCAUCUUGCGAAUCUUCUAAUAAGCAUCUACUAGCUCUUUUUUACUUCAUCCAGGUUGCAACUCCUUGAUCCUAUGCUUGUGAGCUUCUUUAAAAAGGUUGGGAUGUUUGACGACUCUUGAAUAAUCUUUGCUAAUCUUGAAUCAACGCAGCAAAGUCGUAUACUCCUAUUGUUACACUUCUUGCAUCACGCUUUCUUGGACUAUAUUCGGAGAACCGUAUUAUCUUCCACUUUAUCAAGAAACCCGUUUUCCAUGACAAGCUCUCUAUUUAGCAACCGAACAUGAAUCAACACCUCUUUUCUAUGAUGAAAUGCAAUGCAGUCAAAAUGUCAUGCAACCAAAUCAAAACAUAACAAGUUAGUAUCAGGUAUAAACAUUAUAUCCAAUACAAUCAAGAAAUAAUAAAAACUCCUAGUCAGGAAUCUACUAAGGUUUAGAGUACUUCUACCUAGGGUAAGUUCCUAAAGCUCACUAUAUGAGGUUUAGUUUCUAGAGUAAGGGUACCCGAACCAGCAAAUUCCUCGAUCCUCACCCAUUAUAGGCUCAUGUGGAUCGAGUUCAGUUCAGGGGGAUGCAUUUUCCUAUGGCUGCACGGAGAUGAAAAUCUCACGAAGACAUAGGUACAGAUAUAUCCCGGAAGCGGUCCACUACCCUGCACGGAGGUGAAAACCUCACGAAGGACUAGUUUCUCGCUCCCACUUAAGGGGGUAACACUGACCAUGCAAUGCAAAAUGCAAAUACAGAUCACCCAACUUGAUUCAAUCAUGCAAAUGAUGAAAAUCAAUCAAUGCGAAAGGAAAUCAUGAUUUUUAAAAAACUUUUGACUUUCGAUAAAAAAGACAAAGCAUAAUCAAUUCAUGGCUCGACUCUCAAAUGUCCUCAGCGGAGUCGCCAAGCUGUCGAAACCGCUUUUUUGGAAACAAAAAAAUUUUAGUUUCGUCUUAAAAAUAAAAACUGGAGUCGCCACUGGUCCUUUAUUAAGGUGUGAUCGGCCCACCUUAAAAAUAAUUUUGGUCUGCGAAAUUUGAGAAAACAGGUUUAAUGGUGGUGGCCCCCCUCAUUUUGGGCAUAUGUUUCAGCACUUAUCCAUUUUCAGACAAGGAAAUUAUUUAAUAAAGAAAAAGAAAAAUGGUGCACAUGGGAGCAUUUUCAAGCCCACCUUUGAGUUAUGAAAGACUGGGGUAGAUGGAAGUAAUUAACGGGCAAAGUGGGGUUAAGAAGGGUAAUUAAGAAAUGGUGCAGUGGAUGGAGUUAGAAAGAAGAGGAUACUCACGGGCAAGAGACAGGGGGUUUGGUUUUCUCAGCAAAAACGCGUGUGAAGAUGUGGAAUUGUCAAGCUUUUUGAAUUAUUUGUCCCCAAAAAAUAUAGAUGUGAAGAAAACACAUGCACCUUGUCGAAACCGUUUUUUUAGAAACAAAAAAAUUUUAGUUUCGUCUUAAAAAUAAAAACUGGAGUCGCCACCGAUCCUUUAUUAAGGUGUGCGGCCCACCUUAAAAAUAAUUUUGGUCUGCGAAAUUUGAGAAAACAGGUUCGGGAGUUAGUUACGCACGAGGAAGGAUUAGCACCCUCGUAACGCCCAAAAUUGGUACCAAAUUGAUUUUUUUAAUGCCUUGGUNNNNNNNNNNNNNNNNNNNNNNNNNNNNNNNNNNNNNNNNNNNNNNNNNNNNNNNNNNNNNNNNNNNNNNNNNNNNNNNNNNNNNNNNNNNNNNNNNNNNCAUGGGAGCAUUUUCAAGCCCACCUUUGAGUUAUGAAAGACUGGGGUAGAUGGAAGUAAUUAACGGGCAAAGUGGGGUUAAGAAGGGUAAUUAAGAAAUGGUGCAGUGGAUGGAGUUAGAAAGAAGAGGAUACUCACGGGCAAGAGACAGGGGGUUUGGUUUUCUCAGCAAAAACGCGUGUGAAGAUGUGGAAUUGUCAAGCUUUUUGAAUUAUUUGUCCCCCAAAAAAUAUAGAUGUGAAGAAAACACAUGCACCUUGUCGAAACCGUUUUUUUAGAAACAAAAAAAUUUUAGUUUCGUCUUAAAAAUAAAAACUGGAGUCGCCACCGAUCCUUUAUUAAGGUGUGCGGCCCACCUUAAAAAUAAUUUUGGUCUGCGAAAUUUGAGAAAACAGGUUCGGGAGUUAGUUACGCACGAGGAAGGAUUAGCACCCUCGUAACGCCCAAAAUUGGUACCAAAUUGAUUUUUUUAAUGCCUUGGUGUCGAAAAUUUGAAAAGAUUUUAAAAUGAAACUUUUUAUUUCAUGAAUGAAUCAAAAUAAUAAGACAUUCUUAUUUCAAAGAAAUGAAACACCACACCCAGUGAGUUAGGGCACAAUGUUUUUAAAUUUUCAAAAUACCCGAAUAUUGCCUUUUGCUUUUGAAAAUUCUUAUUUCGAGAAAUCAAAAUAUAAGGACCAGUAAGUUAGGACCCAACAUUUUGAAUCCCCGAGAAUAAGCUUUUAUUUAAAAUUUGUGAAUUUAAUGCAAAAUGAAUACUUAGCGUUCUAAAUUCAUCGAAGAAUAAUCGCAAUCCAGUAAGUUAGGACACGGUCUUUCUUGAGAAUCAUGAACGCCAAAUACUUUGAAAAUUUAUAAAAUAUGAUGAUUUCAAUGUUUUGACAAAACCAAAAUAUGUCUUCUUUAAAAGCAAGAUAAAAUGUUAAUAAACAACAUGGAACACGUACUUUAAUUUAAAUUAUAAAUAUGCAUGUAUUUACAAAAUAUAUAUACAAAUACAAUACACAAGUAAAUUUGAAAAUAUGUGCAUGCGUAUGUUUAACACACAUAUACAAGUAUACAUAUAAAAAAACAUGUAUAGCAGAACUUAUAAUAAUCUCUAAAAAUAUGUACGUAUAUUUCAUAAAACAUGUAUAUGUACAAAAAAUAGGAAAAAUACAUAUGUAUUGUAAAAUAUAUAUAUUUAUUUAUUUAUAAAAACUAUGAAAACAAAAAAAAACAAAUAUAUAAAUUAUGCACGUAUUAAAAUAUGUAUAUGUAUGUGUACAUAUAUGAAUGCAAAUAACUAGAAGAACAAACUAAUAUAUGAAAAAAAAGAUAGGUAUAAAAGUAUGUGGAUAUGUAUGCAUUUUAAAAAAAUAAAAGAAAUGUAUAAGUAUAUAUAUAUAUAUAAUGUAAAAUAUAUGAGUAAAAAAAUAAAAAAAUAAAAGACGUAUGUAAAAUGCAUGCAUUUUAAGAAUAUAUAUAUAUUAUAUAAAGAAUUAUGCAUAUAUGUACUAUAUAUAAAAAAAUCGUAUAUGAAUAUAGAAAUAGUAAUAAAUGAUAAUAAAUAAUAUAGUAAUAAUUUUAAAAAUAAAAAUUUUAAAAAACGAAUUGCAACAAAAACAAAAUAGCCAAAAAAUGAAAUUAAAAUAGAACAUGGACCAAUUUGCAACACACGCAUUAUAUGAGGGGCCCAAAUGGAAACAAUCCGCCUCCUUAAAAUGCUGCGCUGCAAUGGGGACCGAUUUGAAAUGAGGAAAAAACAUUCGGGCCAAAUUAAAAAGAGAUAACUGGCUUAAUAAAACAUGGCGCAAAGGGGAAGGACUUAUUUCGAAAUUAUCCCAUUUAAGGUUGAUAUGCGUGAACCCCCAAAUAAACAGCGCCAUCCUUGCUCUGCUCUGUUUUAAGUUUAAAAAAAACAAAUUUAGGGAAAUAUUUUGCCUUUCCCUUUGAAGCAGAAACUGCUUCUUUUAGGGUUUCCUUAACCCUUUGGCCGCCGUUCAGCCCACGGCCUUCGUCGACGGAGAAGACGCCGGCCCGUCGACUCCGAUGACCAGGUAAGUUUCUUCCUCCUUUCUUUUUAUUUUCAAUGAAAAAUAAAACAAUAAAAAAGGCUAAAAGAAAAAAAAACAAAAUGAAACUCAAAAUGCUGAGAAAAUGAAAAAACACCUUUUGUAUUCGGAAAAGAAAAUUUGUUUGUUGAUAUUAAAUCUUUUUUAUUGAUUCUUCCCAAAAAUCUCCCCUUUUUACAGAUUUAAAUCACCCUUAUAUAGCCGAAAAUUAGAGAGGAAAAUAAUCAAAAAUCGAAUCUAUAUCUUUUCUGUUAUUUCCCCUUAUUUUCCUAUUAUUUUAUUGUUUCGUGGUUGUUUAUUGUUUGUUGCAGGAGCCAACUGGAGGAGAACGUGUGGGGAAGGCGCGCAAAGGGCGGCGAUGAACGUGGCUGCUGUUGAGGAUGGCGGCUGGUGGUUUUUUCUACUUAGGGCUUCUGUUAUUUUUGUUUUUGGGCUAGGUUUAGUUUAUUGGGUUUGGGCCCAGGCAUAUUUGGGACUAUUACACACCUCAUGAAAAAUGUCAAAUAUUAUUUGAUUGGCUGGAAGGACGCGGAUUGGCAAGGACCACUUCACCCAUAUCUUCAUACUUGCUUGGUUGAUCAAUGGUUAAAAGGAGAGGACGACCCUGAAAUUCAGAAAAGAAUCGGUUCCCUUCCCCUUUCCCCUGCAAUUCCUAUUGUUUUGUUUUCUUGAUUUCCAAAUCCUUGUAGUAAUAAAUGAAAAAAAGAAGAUCCACACAGACAAUACCCUGUACAAUAUCUACUUUGCUUUUAAGCGCGUUCUAUCUUCGUCCUUAAUAACUCUUAUUUAUUCACAGUUUAAACUCUCAGAUUCUGGUUCGAUUUCAGUAUCAUCCUUAGUCCAUUUAAUUUAUUUAUUAUUUUAGAAACUCUUUUAUUAUUAUUUGUUUUAAGUUUUUUUAUUUAUCAUUUAUUGUAAACUGUUUUACAUGCUAUUUAUUUAAUUCUUUUAAUAUGUUAUUCAUUUUAAACCAUUAUAUGUACAUAAUCUUUUAAAUUCCUAUAUAUGUAUUUUUUUUAAAUGUUGUAUGUCUUUUAUUUAUUUGUUUUAAACUAUUAUUAUUCACUUUAAGUUUUUAUAUACUGUUUAUUUUGAAGCCUUUUAUUAUUUAUUUUUGAAUUGUUCUUGUAAAUUAUUUAUUUUAAAUUAUUAUUUGCUUUAAACUGUUUUGCAUAAUAUUUUGUUUUGUUUUCUUCGAUUGUUAAUGUUAGUAUUAAAAACGAUAUACAUUGUGUGAUUAUUGCCGUCAUGUGUACUAUAAUUAGCUUCUUCGUGUUUUCAUAUUAUUGUCUUUCAUCAAUGUAACAUUUUAUUCAUAAAUCGUUAUUUCAUGUUAUACAUUAUCAUUCCAUUUCAUUUCAUCACUUCGAAAGUUGCGUUCAAUUUUUAUAUACCCAUAAUAAACCGUUCUAUUUUAUCACAAAUAAAACAAAUGCACCUCGUUCAAGAAUUGUACUCGCUAUGAUUCAAAAAAAGGGAAAAGUUUUUUAAUAACGCAAUAUUUCGCGUUUUGGAGAUUCGAAAAAUUGUACCCUAACUUACGGGGUUUCAAUUUUCUCGUUAAAUCUAAAUAGCAAAAUAUCUUUUUAAAUUUCAAGAUAUACGAGAUUUCAAUAAAAAUUAAAGGCAAGCUUAUUCUCUAAGGUUCCAAAUAUCGUGUCCUAACUUACGGGACAUGACAUUUCGUUACCUCGAGACAAGUGGGUCUUUAACUCUCUUUUCAAUUUAUUCAAGCGUUUUUUUAUUAGCAUUAACAAAAAAAGGAUCGUAUUUUAAAAUAUUUUCAAAAUUUUAACUUUUGACAUUAAGACAUUAAUUAAUCAACUAGGUACCAAUUUUGGGCGUAUCGAGGGUGCUAAUCAUUCCUCGUGCGUAACCGACUCCAGAACCCAUUUUCUGGAUUUUGUAGACUAAAAAUUACCGUUUUAGUAUAUUUAAAAUUUUAUUAAAAUGAUUAAAUUAUAAGGUGAUCUGAUCACACCUAAAUAAAAAGGAUUGGUGGCGACUCCAUUUUCGUUUUUAAAUAAAAAGUUGACCCUUUUUUCAAAAAAAUGGUUUCGACAACCCUUAUGUCCGUUUUCGGAUCACAAGAAUUCUAUGAAUUAAAAAAAUAAUCCUACAUGGAGAUGAUAGUCCAUGGUCUAUUUCCUAAGAACCACAACAUUAACAAAGCAAACAAUUAGAUAACAAAUAUAUAAUAUCGCAUUCAUUCCUACAUAUAACACAAAAAUAUGUAUAAGAUCUAAAGAAUGUCACUUUCUAUGUAAUCAAAUCAUUCAAGAAGUGAAUUUUAUUUUGAUUAUCUGUUUAUACUUAUCGAUAGAGCAAAACCUGGUUCUGAUACUAAUUGUUCAAAAAUGAGUUUUUGAAAAUGCAGCAAAAAUCAAUUUAGGGAAAAGCCUAAGUUUAAAAAAAUUCUAAAAUAAGAAUUUAGUUGUGAUAUCUAAAGUAAUAAACACUUAAUAAAAAUUGUACCUUUUCGAUUCGUCUAUGAUGAAUGCUUCAUUGAGUAGUCUUUUCUAUUAUCCUCAAACUCACGUUUGCCGAGUCACAAUAACAUUAAACAAGUGCAACAACUAAACCAAUGCUGAUAGCACUUAAAGGCAAUGGUUGAAGCAAACAACAAUUGAAAAAAAAAUGAAAGAAUCGGUGUUGCAAAUUUUUAAGAUUAGCACAAUGGCCACAAGGUAAUUGACGGCUAUAAUAAAGGGUUGAUCGACAAAUGCACAGCAGGCUAAAACAACAAGAAAUUGAAGCUAAUCAGCACCCAAAUAACAGGCAACACAUUUAGAUGGCAAACAGUAGAAGGUUAAGCAACAAAAUUGAAGCAAAUUAAAUAGCAAGUCAGUAACAAAAGGAACCAGUAGCAGCUAAUUGGAAGUUGAUUGAUAAGUAUUUGGUAAAACAACGUUAUUUGACCAACAUGCAAAAUAGUACACAUGCAUACACCACUCACAAUUGAUUUGAAUCCCACACCUCAAUUACAAUCCAUAGAACAUUAACAAUUGACCGGAGCACCACUACAACUCGGAUUCGUCUCGAUUCCUUCUUAACGCUACACCGGUUUGAAGAUUUGCGUUAAUAGUCGAUCAACAAUAAUGAAUGCUCACUAACCAAGCUAAGAGGGUUCGGUCAAGGGGUGAGAAAUAAUGAUGACAAGGGCAACAAAAACUUCAAUGUGCGACUACAGGAGAAGGAGAAAUGGACAUCAAUGGAGAAUCAAAAAUGGCAGAAAAUUCUAAACAAAAUAUUGAUAUUAAAAAGGCAAGGAUUCAGCCAAAUAAAUUGGAGAAGUGAUAGGCAAAAGGGCAGCACAAAUAGAAAAUAAAACUUGUGUUUUAGGUUGCAAUAAUGGUGGAUUAUGAGAGAAAAUUGAAGAAUAAUGGAGAGGAAAAAUGAAGGGGACGACAAUAGCUUGAGAAAAAUAAAUAAAAUAGGCUAAACAUAAAAUAAAAUGCAAUUUAUACCGAGGUUAAAAAGGGCUUGGAAGGCAACAAGGUUUUGGGGAGCAAAAACAUUGAAAAAAUAAAAGUUUGCAAGGGAAGGGAAUCAAACUCAAGUCUUAAGGUCAAUUUCACUAACUCUUUACCAGUAUGCCAAUUACUUAUCCUUUUUAUAAAUGCUCAAACAAAACCUUAAAAAUUAGGGCAAGACAACUUUCAGUUCACUAACCCGAUUUCUUCCGACUCAAUU
rnacentral:lncRNA from 1 species